rnacentral:rRNA from 1 species
UAGGGAAUCUUCCGCAAUGGACGAAAGUCUGACGGAGCAACGCCGCGUGAGUGAUGAAGGGUUUCGGCUCGUAAAACUCUGUUGUUAAGGAAGAAUACUUGAGGUAGUAACUGGCCUUGAGAUGACGGUACUUAACCAGAAAGCCACGGCUAACUACGUGCCAGCAGCCGCGGUAAUACGUAGGUGGCAAGCGUUAUCCGGAAUUAUUGGGCGUAAAGCGCGCGUAGGCGGUAAGAUAAGUCUGAUGUGAAAGCCCCCGGCUCAACCGGGGAGGGUCAUUGGAAACUGUUUUACUUGAGUACAGAAGAGGAGAGUGGAAUUCCAUGUGUAGCGGUGAAAUGCGCAGAGAUAUGGAGGAACACCAGUGGCGAAGGCGGCUCUCUGGUCUGUUACUGACGCUGAGGUGCGAAAGCGUGGGGAUCAAACA